rnacentral:misc_RNA from 1 species
UCCGAGUUGACCCCGGCAGUCUCCUGCGAGUCCCCGCCAUUACGCGCUGGCAACACAGGACAAGGGUUGCGCUCGUUGCGGGACUUAACCCAACAUUUCACAACACGAGCUGACGACAGCCAUGCACCACCUGUGUAACACCCUCGAAGGCGACUCCGUUUCGGGAGCUUGCAGUUACAUGUCAAGCCCUGGUAAGGUUCUUCGCGUUGCAUCGAAUUAAGCCACAUGCUCCACCGCUUGUGCGGUCCCCCGCCAAUUCCUUUGAGUUUCAACCUUGCGGCCGUAGUCCCCAGGCGGUUCACUUAAUGCGUUAGCUGCGGCACCGGAGGUUACCCCCCGACACCUAGUGAACAUCGUUUAGGGCGUGGACUAC